rnacentral:lncRNA from 1 species
AGAAGAUCUGUCAACAGCUAAUCAACACCACCUCACCUAUACACCACCUAGGACUCAUUAUGAUCACUUGUCAAGCUGAGAACAGAAGUCAAGAGAAGACACUCACCCUGAUCCUUCAAUUUACUUUGAGUGAAUAUCAUACUCAUAAACAGUACAGAGGAGCCCUGGCAUUUCUAAGUUGGGAUUAAAUUGCAGGUAUAAAGCAAUUAAAAAGAAGCAGGACCAUACAUGCCAAGAUAGGCAAGACAAAGUCAAUAUCUGGAGCCUUUGUCAGGUAAUUGGAGCAUAUUUCCUCUUCGGGAAAGUACAACCCUCAGCCAUACAUAUAUCAUCAGAAAUUUUUUCAUACAAUUUAUCAUUUCAUAUUCUGAUGC